rnacentral:rRNA from 1 species
CUCCUACGGGAGGCAGCAGUGGGGAAUAUUGGACAGUGGGCGCAAGCCUGAUCCAGCAAUGCCGCGUGUGUGAAGAAGGCCUUCGGGUUGUAAAGCACUUUUAUCAGGAGCGAAAUACUACCGGUUAAUAACCGGUGGGGCUGACGGUACCUGAGGAAUAAGCACCGGCUAACUUCGUGCCAGCAGCCGCGGUAAUUC